CGGCUCAUCAACGGCUGCCCCUCCCUCCGUCCCCGACCCUUCCCUACCCGUGCGCUAGCGUCUGGCCUCUGGCAGAGGCCUUGGAGGGUGGGCCUUUGAGCAGCUUGUCUGAGUUUUGAGUCGGACCAGUAAUCGUAUUUCCCUGGGGGCGCGUUGCUGGUUGCCGCACGCUUGCCGCCUCGAACAAAAUCAAGGCUAAGGGACUGGGCCCAAGGACGGCGAGCGGUGGUCGCCUUUGGAAGCCGGGUCUUGCAGUGCUGCUCAUGGAAUAACCAGACUGCCUGAAAGGUUUAAGGGUUCACAGGGUACGUUUGAUUCAGAUGCUUCUGGAACGUCGAAAUUAUCUUCUUUGGAAAGAACCAUCUCCUCUUUGGGCUUCAGGGGCCCAGACUGAGGCGCAAUGAUGAGAGGAUGUGGUGGUCCACUCUGAUGUCAAUCUUGAGGGCUAGGAAACAUGGGUUCAAGCCCUGGUCUGGAAAGAUCCCACAUGCCGCGGAGCAACUAAGCCCAUGCGCCACAGCUACCGAGCCUGUGCUCUAGAGCCCACGAGCCACAACUACUGAGCCUGCGUGCCUAGAGCCCAUGCUCUGCAACGAGAAGCCACCAUGGUGAGAAGCCUGUGCACCGCAAUGAAGACCCAU